rfam:Tupaia chinensis contig105620, whole genome shotgun sequence.
ACCCGCUUCGGCAGCAGUGUACCAAAACCGGAACGGUACAGAGAACAGUAGCGUGGCCGCUGCGCAAGGAGGAUGGCAAAUCGUGAAGCAUUUCGCAUUUUC